GAACCAGUCUCGCUGAAUCUCUUUGUAUAAGAGAACGGGGAAACCAAUAUGACCAGAUACUUCACAAAAUUGUGUUGAUGGCAUAUAUGAUUUCUUUACUAGGGUCUAGGGGUGAAUUUGAGGGCGUGCGCCAUGAGCGGAUGACCUAAGAUAGGGCGGCUCUCUUUCGUCCAAACCCGACAGCUAACCUCGUAAGCGUUAUGAAGAGAGGCA
rnacentral:sRNA from 2 species